UGAAUUUUUUGCAUCGUGCUUAUAUUAAACAUCUUUCAGUGAUACAGUAGGAAAUAAUUUAGACUUUUUUGGAUAUUUCUCCCAAAACCCAGAAUGAUUCCAGAAAUAAUCCAACAUCAGACUGAGAGUUCAUAAGUUGCACUUGCUUGCUCAUCUUUGGUUUUGCAAAAUGUCUCAAUCCAAGAAAGUACAGAAACUAUAAGGAAACGGAUUGAAGGAAGUGUUAGAUGGAAUUAUUGAUCUGGACAGCAUCUAUUUUGUCAGUACAAGUGUUUUGGCAGUACUUAAAACCAUGGAAGUACCCUGCGCACUCUCAGGAUCCAAAUAUCUGAUGAAAUUAUUCAAUUGGAUACCAUCAAUUUAAUAAAUUCAAAGAUGUCACAUGUAUUUGCUACCUU
rnacentral:lncRNA from 1 species